GCCCAAUCACAAGAGGCUCAUACAGAGUAACCUAUUCAUAAUAAUGAUGAGUAUCCCUCAUCUAGGGAAACAUACAUGUCCUAUUUGAGAAGGAAUAACAAAGGUGCAAAGAAAGGGAGAGAAGAGAUAGAUGGAUCUGAACCUGGGCACCGAAAACAUGUGGAAAAGGAAAGGUAUACUUUUCACAGCCGACAAGCGGCGCAUUUAAGCCCUAAAGAACUAGCUUCCUGGAAAAAACUCACUCGAUCACCGGCUUUCUGAGAUCAAAUGUUCUGCCAACAGUCGCCGUGGUGGUCUGCCAGCGUUCAUGUUGUGUGAUCCCUACGGGCCCGCCCGCAACGCCCUGAUUUGUGAUUCGAUUCCACCAGAAUCGGUGCCUCUCCGCCCGUCCAAAAAACAUUAUGUGCCUCCCCGACCCUACUUUCGCUGGGCGCAAUAACCAUGGCGGCGGAUCCGCGACGUCGGCGCCCGAUUCACCCCAGGUUCUGCGGUGAUUCCACCAGAUCAGUGCCUCCCCUACCCUUCUUUCACUAGGUUGGGCGCAGCAACCAUGGCGGCGGAUCCUCAGUGUCCGCGGCCGCUCGAUCACGGCCAGCGGCCCGAUGUAGGCGUACCGGGUACAGGCACAGUCUGCUGCUCUGCCCCGCGCUCCUUCCAUGUAUCCCCUGCGCAUCCGGUGUCCAGACGCUUCUUCCACUCUGGCCUAGGUCUUGUUGUUUGGAUGGACUGUUGACAGAAGUGCUAUCCAUUUAGGUAUUCGCGCGAGUACAAAUCAUAAGCAGACUCCACUCCUCCGUGGAUGUUCAGGUUGCAGGCUCAAGCUUUAUCAGGGCCUUGACUAUUGUUUAUUACAUAAUUGUCCAACACAGUGCCUCAUGCUAGCCGGCCUGGUUGAUGAUGCCUAUCUCCCUUAUAAUCAGAAACGAAAUAGCUUAUCCCUUAUAUUCAGGGACGGAAUAACUUAGGCGUGUCGUCCGCGACAAAACAAGUUCAUGGCAUUUUGUCUUCAAAUUAGACGUUAUACGUCCCUGCAAUAUGUGUGUCAAAUGCCCCAAAGUGGAUUUGUGAUCUCACUUUCCUACUGCACGGUCAUUUACUCUCUGCACAUAGAAUCUCUCUAAAUUAACAAAACCUAUUAAUACCCCCCUCUAACUGUUAUAUCUUAAGUUGCUUCUCCAUAACUAUUUGUGUGUCUACAGCUGUUAUAUCCUACGUUACUCUGACAAUUUUUCUCCCAAGUGAUGUGCUUUGUGUGUAUAACUGUACCUUAUUUUGUACCGUCGACAUUUCUAAAUUAUUUUGCAGUGGCUUACGAGGGCAGCAGCUUCACAUCACCACACCGCCCUAGGAUUGAUUUUCUUCCAUUGCAUGAAGUGCAAUUGCUGCCUUGGAAUGAGACUAUCAGAACACAGAUGUCGGGAGAAGGGGCUAGAGACAAACUGUCCAAUUUGCGGUGACUUCCUAUUCACAUCAAUUGCUGCAGUUAGAGCUCUUCCUUGUGGUCACUUCAUGCAUUCAACUUGCUUUCAGUUGUAUUGUAUGAUUAUUCUCCACGGACAAUACAGUUCCGAUUCCUGAUGCUCAAGGGUGACUUUACUUGUGCUCUUGUUAUUUAAAAUCGCUCCUAAGAUGCAAAGUGAAGACUGCUUUAGUAUUUGGGGAGUACACAGUCGGAUAUUUGGCUCAAGUCAUGUUGAGUGACUGAAUGUAAUAGACAAACUUCACAGGUAUUGGUACCUGAAAAAAGAAGAGGAAACAUUGUAAAUCGUUGUUAUUAUAUGGGAUGCCAAUCGAGAA